CUUAUUUUUCUUCCAUAGCGCGGCAAUUAAACACAUUGAUGAAAAAAUAAGUAAAUAAAAAAAAAAAAUAAAAAAAAAUAGAAAUUUGCGCACGACGACUUUUUGCAUCGUAAUCAGUAAAUGUUUACAAGUACUUGCAUCAAUGCAAAUAUACGACGUGUAUUGGUCGCUUAUUUCGAAAUCCAAUUCGAAAUAAAAAACUACUUUUCUUUGUUUUUAUGUAAGUGCAACUGCCUACUGAUAAUUGUAUAUAUGUAUGUAUCAAUGCAUGCAUGUGAGCAUUUAAAUGUUGCAAGUGUGCCUUAAAUUCUACGAAAUGAUUUGAAUGCGUUUAUGUGAUAAUGGAUGCAAUUUUCAUCACAUCAUUCGUUUGGAAAUUGUUGUCGUUGCAGCCGAAGGAUUUGUGGAUUUUAACUAAAUUACAAGAGUGUUAAAUUGUGAAUACCCCCAUUUUGUGGUUGGCUGUGGUCGAAGUGCAGUAGAGCAGCAACAA